rnacentral:piRNA from 1 species
UCCUCAGCAUCCUGAUAGGUGAUAGAUCUA